GCUUUCCUACUUGCUUGCUCUGUAUUUACAUGCAUUGCUUUUGACUUGUUAUUCUCCUUUGUCCUCUGUUUCAUUAGUUUCCCUUCAACCCUCCCCCUUCCCUCACCCUACCUCCAAUUUUUUCCUUCCUACCCUCUCUCCUCUCCCCCCCCAGCCACCCACACCCCCACUUACUCACCCCCCUCACCUCUGCCCCCUCUCCACCCCUCCUCCCUCCCCCUCUCGCCCCACUCACCCCCCUCUUGCCCCACUGCUCCUCCCCCUCUCCCCCCUCUCCUUCACUUCCCCUCCCCUCCCCUCCCCUCCCCUCUCUUUUGCCCCCAUCCACUACCAUUCCCCCUCGCUUUAAGGGAAACUUACCUUUCCUGCUCUUCACUGACUUCUUGAUUCUCGUGGCUCUGGCUGCUAUUUUGCCUUGUUUUCCUUUGCUCUGCUAUGCACUGCUUUCUCUGUAUUUCUUGCCAUCCACUCCUUCCUUUGAGUUAUUCUUUACUUUUUCACUUGGCUUUUUUCUUCUUUUCUCUUUACCUUUCUUCUCUUGUCAUUAUUCGGUUUUUUGUAUGCUUUUUCUGUUUUCAUCUAUUAGUUUUUCUUUUCUUUUUUUUUCUUUUUUUGUCUUUUCUCUUUUUUCUCUUUUUUGUUCAUUUUCUUUCUUUCUUUUCUCUUUUUUGUCUUUUUUGUUCAUUUUCUUUUUGUCUUUUAUCUUUUUUCUCUUUUUCAUUCAUUUUUUCAUUUUUCUUUUCAUUUUUUCUCUUUUUCUUAUUUUUCUUUUCUUUUUUUCUCUUUUUUUCUUUUGUUCAUUUUCUUUUUUCUUUUUUUUUUUCUUUUUUCUUUUCAUUCAUUUUUUCUUUUUUCUUUUCAUUUUUUCUCUUUUUCUUAUUUUUCUUUUCUUUUUUUCUCUUUUUUUCCAUAUUUUUUGUUCUUAUUUUUUCUUUUCUUUUCUUUUUCAUCAUAGGUUUGCCUUCAGCCCUCCCCUCAGCCCUUCCCUCCGCUCUGCUCUUCACCCAUCCCCUCCCCUCCCCAUCCCUCUUUUCUCCCUUACCCUCCCCUUUCCCCUUGCCUUUGCCUCCCAGUACCUUGCCUGCCCUUCACUUACCUUCUCCUCACUUCCUGCUCCUUGAUGCUAUGGGCUUUUGCUGCUACUCACGCCAAACCCCAACACUUGCCUACUCUGCGUGCUGCUCUGCCAAGUUGCUCUCUACUCUGCUCACAGCUUCACGCCUACUGCCUGCCCUUCUCUGUCCCCUUCUCGUGCCCUUCACGCUUUUCCUCCCCUUGCUGAGCAAGGCCAUGCCCGGUAGCUACCCUUGAACCUCCUCCGCCCUUUGCCUUCCUCCACAGAGAUGCUUGCUUCUGGCCAGCACUCCUGCCCGGUGCCUAGCCCACACACCUCAUCUCUUGGGGAGAUAGCAAGCUGGCCUGUAGCUACCCACACCUCCUCCCGGGCAUGGCUUCUCAGCUUUGCUUCAAGCCCAGAACCCAAAGGAGCUCCUCUUACCUUUUGGCCCACAUUCUUCUCCUCCCGCGCAGCUCCUGUGGCAAGCAGGGGCACAGCUCUGGCCAGAGUCCUCCAUUCCUGCAAGGUUGCUUUUUGUCAUUCUUUGCCUUCUGUUGCUGUGCUCUCUUUUGCUGUGCUAUGCCUAGCUUUCCUACUUGCUUGCUCUGUAUUUACAUGCAUUGCUUUUGACUUGUUAUUCUCCUUUGUCCUCUGUUUCAUUAGUUUCCCUUCAACCCUCCCCCUUCCCUCACCCUACCUCCAAUUUUUUCCUUCCUACCCUCUCUCCUCUCCCCCCCCAGCCACCCACACCCCCACUUACUCACCCCCCUCACCUCUGCCC
rnacentral:lncRNA from 7 species